rnacentral:lncRNA from 1 species
UCUUUUAUAACAAAGUAAUUUUCAAGUGGAAAUGCAAUACUUUUAAAACCAUAUAGUAGACCUUCUAGGGUGAACUAGGUCUCCAUUUGUUGGCUGAUUAGGGUUGUAACUACUAGGUAUGAGAUUCUUUUGGUGGGGAAAAAAUUAGAUAUUAUAGGGUGGUAAGAGAAGGCAACAAUACCUUAAAUAGGUUUCCAGGCUUCCUAUUUUCCUUGGCUUGGCUGCUGGUCUGUCAGGCAUGUACAUGACAAGUACUUGCCCUGUUGACUAAGGGAAUGUCACAGUCUCUUUGAGACUGCGAAGGUGGAACUGAGCAGACCUUUCCACCUUCCACCCUUGGCCAUCGAUCCUUGGUAAAAAGCCAAGUGUCUGCUUAUUCAUGAAUACACUCCUUGUGAUGAUUGUUGGCACUAAGUGUAUAUUCUGUACCAGCUGCUGUUUAUUGAUUGCUGUCUUAGUAGCUCAGGUAUGCUACGUGUUUUAGUUGACUUUAUUUUCCAGUUCAGCUGUAAAUUUUAAGAUGCAAAGCUGUUUUUAUUUGCAUUAUGAUCAAGGGCAUUAAUAAUUUACUUUAGAAAUAGAAAUAAUAUUGUAAUUAUAUUCUAAAUGAUAUAAAAUACAUUAUAAACAAUUUUUGCUCUUCACUCUUUUUGGUUUCUUAAAAGAUCUGAUGUUGUUCAUGGAUGGAUGUUUUGUCCUUUUGCAUUCUAAAGUCUUUAGGUGGCUCUUUUGGAUAUGAUUCUUCUUGCAAUAAAUUGCCAAGAACCAGGGUUUCAUUUCUGUACAGAGCACUUUUUAAAACUUUUCCUUUUUCCUAGUUACUAAACUGGCAUUUUAACCUCUUUUUCUCCUUUUAGCUUUGAAUCUGUCUUUCUUAAACUUGUCUUUUACUCUUUUUCUUCUCAUAUGUAUUAAUAACUAUAGUCAGUGUUUUAUAUUUAGUUUUUAGUACUCAGUGGGAGGUCAUGUAACUAAUUGUCAUACCAGGGAUAAAACUAAUAAGGUGCUCAUUUUUUGUAAGUAAAAGGAACCACUGAAGAUAAAAUACGGUUAUAGAGAAGAAUAAUGAGUUCUCAUAUGAUUAUUUACCUUUUUAAAUUGACCCUGAAUCUGUAUGUGGACCAUUGCAAAUAAACAAGUAUACAUUGUAUGUUGAGAAAGUACUGUGUAUCAACAUGUUUUUUGUGUUCAUGCAGGUAUAUAUUUGGUUAUAAAGUCAGUUUUAUAAUAGUUUAGAAAUUGUUUUAUAUAUAAACAGAUUAUAUAUAAAUGUGGACUAGACAGGGAGGGAUUAAUAUGAAUUUCUAUACUAGUUUUCCUUUACCUAUAUAUUUAUAAUGACAUAAAGCUCAGCUUAUGCAGUUAUACAAUUUUAAUUUUUAGAUUGUAAAAAAUUUGUCACAUUUUGAAUAUAUAUAUUUUGUAAAAGCUACAUUGAAAGAAAUUAAAAUUCUGAGAUUUUCCUAAAUCAAAUGUAAAAACAUACAAUCUAUCCAUUAGGAUUUUCUAUAUAAACUUGA